AUGCGCCCAUGCCGGACGCCUCUCCUCGACUCCACCUCGCCGCUGUCCGUGCUCCUCCUCGACCACCUCCACCGCAAUCGCCCCUCCCCUCCCCCCUCAGCCUCGCCGCCGUCAGCCUUCUGGUCUCCCAUCGCCGCAUUCGCCGCUGCCACAAAGCGCGCCCGAGCCGGGACGCUCAGCCCUGAGGACGCACACCACCUGUUCGACGAAUUGCUACGCCAGUCCAACCCGGUCCCCAAUCGCUUCCUGAACAGCUUCCUUGCCGCCCUCGCCCGUGCUCCACCCUCCGACGCCUGCGGAGAUGGCCCCGCCCUCACCGUCGCCCUCUUCAACCGCCUGUGCCGAGAAGAGGCCGGCCCUUGUGUAGCGCCGCCCACUAUCUAUACCUACAGCAUUCUAAUGGACAGCUGCUGCCGCGUGGGUCGCCCGGACCUUGGGCUUGCUGUCUUCGGCCGCCUACUCAAGUCGGGCUUCAAGGCAGACCAGAGCACUGCCAGCAGCCUCCUCAUGUGCCUCUGCGAUGUAGGACGGACAAACGAGGCUGUGGACGUGCUGCUUCAUAGGAUCUCCGAGCUCGGCUGUGAGCCUAAUGUCAUCCCAUACAACAUAGUUCUUAAGAGCUUAUGUGACAGUAGAAGGAGCCAGCAAGCUCUUGACCUGCUCCAGAUGAUGGCACAAAGAGGUUGCUGCUCCCCUAAUGUGGUGUCAUAUAACACCGUCAUUCAUGGCUUAUUUAAGGAAGGUGAAGUAAGCAUGGCGUGCUCAUUAUUCUAUGAAAUGAUGCGGCAAAGGGUUAUGCCUAAUGUGGUGACAUAUAGAUCGAUGAUUGGUGCGUUGUGCAAGGUCGGGGCAACGGACAAGGCAAAGCUGGUCCUUGGUCAUAUGGUUGGUAAUGGUUUUCGACCAGAUAAGUAUAUUUGGAACUCAUUCAUGGCAUCUCUUUGCAAGCAGGGAAGAAGCAAGGAAGCUGCACAACUUUUUGAUUACAUGGUCGCCAAGGGCCACAAACCUGAUGUUGUCACGUACUCUACUCUGCUUCAUGGGUAUGCUACUGAAGGAUGCUUCACUGAUAUGAUUAAUCUCUUUAAUUCAAUGGAAGGCAACGGUAUUGUAGCUAACAGCUGUGUUUUUAACAUACUAAUUGACGCAUAUGCUAAACGUGGAAUGAUGCAUGAAGCUAUGCUCAUAUUUACUGAAAUGCGGGAACGAAGAGUGAGUCCUGAUAUAUUCACCUAUGGAAUUAUAAUAGCUGCACUUUGCAGAAUGGGUAGGCUAUCUGAUGCUAUGGAGAAAAUAAAUGAAAUGGUUGCUACAGGAUUACAACCGGACAAGGCUGUUUACUAUUCCCUAAUUCAGGGUUUUUGUACACAUGAUGAUUUGGUCAAAGCUAAGGAGUUGGUUUCUGAGAUGAUGACCAAAGGUAUUCCUCGUCCUAACAUUGUGUUCUUCAACUCGGUAAUAGCCAGUCUGUGCAAAGAAGGAAGGGUUAAGGAUGCACACGGUAUCUUUGACUUGGCUCUGAACAUUGGUGAGAGGCCCGAUUUAAUUCACUGA
rnacentral:rRNA from 1 species